AAACUUGAAUUAAUUUUUCUCCUCAUCAUCACAGUGGAAGAAUCUAGAGAGGUUUUCAAUUAUAAAUCGAAUCACCAUGGCUACGGUGGUGAGUUCUGCAAGUGGUUUACUUACUGUUCUCAAUAAAUCGCAUCCAGCUUUGAAGUUAUUGCUCUCAACAAUUUGAACAAAUUUGUGGAUUCUUUUUGUCUGCCAUGUUAGCAUUAUUUAUCUCUCAGCCUUGCCAUAACUUUUUCUUGCUUGCACACUCUAUCAAGAUGAGAUAUUUACUACCAUUUGGAUGAACUAAAGAAGGCAUUAUCAUAUGCUCUAUUAGCAGGCCCACUUUUUGAUGCUUCAGAGGACUUUGAUUAUGUCCAUGCUAUUCUUGCUAAAGCUAUAGAUGAAUAUGGUAUUUUAAAAGCCAGAGCUGCAGAGUUGAACCAAGGAGCAGAGAAGGUGGAUCCUAGAUUGGAGUCUUUUCUGGAGAGGAUGCUAUGGAAGUGCAUCUUGGACCAAAAAUACCAAGCUAUCGGAAUAGCAAUUGUUAAAAGACAAAAUGUUGCAUUGAUGCAGCAUGAACUGGGAAUAUUCCCUGAACGUCAUGAGGUAUUCCACAAGACCUGUACAAAGAAAAGGAGAACAUCAGACCCAAAGAAAAUUUUGAAAUGGCAUCGUAAAGGAUUGCAGAAUUGGAAGCUUAAGUCGCGAUAAUGACUCCAGGGAAUACAUUGCCACCAAACAAUAACAGCAGAGGACUUGAGGAUAAUAUGUAAAUGAGCUAUUGGUAAUUCAGACACAAGAAAGGGUUGCUGUGUGAAGCAAUCAUAUGCUGUAUAAAGGUAGAAGAGCACUCAAAUGCAUCACCACUAAUUGCAGUUAACGGAUGAUACACCAUCUAAUGUAAAGCAUCAGAAAACUGAGUGCAUCUCUUUUGUAAACUACAACUUGGUUAUAAGUUGCCCGUCUUAUUUGUUUA